AUGGGCGGCGGCCGCGAUGGUGGCUAUGCUUGCCGCGGCGGUAGGGGAAUCCGAUGCGGGUCAGCUGGAGCGAGCGUAAGUACAGAAUUUCCUCGCUCACGUUUCACGUUUGCUAUGCGCCUUUAUGCGUUUCCGAUUGUGGAGCCGGAUUAUGGCCACACCAAACUCCGUCUUUCUAAACAAGGCCUGGAGGCAAUCCAAAGGAUCAAGACUCCAAUAGCUGCUGUUUCUGUCAUUGGUCCAUAUCGAUCAGGAAAAUCUUUCCUUCUCAACCAGCUUCUCUCCUUAUCAUGUGAUAAAGGUUUUGGAGUUGGACACAUGCGAGAAACCAAAACCAAAGGUAUAUGGAUUUGGGGCACUCCCGUUGAGGUCGAUGUCGACGGCUCCAAAGUGUCUGUCCUUUACCUGGACACUGAAGGAUUUGAGAGCAUUGGAAAAUCCAAUGUAUAUGAUGAUAGGAUAUUUGCUCUGGCAGCUGUCCUGAGUUCUCUUCUUGUCUACAAUCUCCCUGAAACGAUUCGUGAAGCUGACAUAUCCAGACUCUCAUUCGCUGUUGAACUUGCUGAGGAAUUCUACGGAAGGGUGAAGGGCCAAGAUGUUGCUUUUGAGCCAGCAAAACUUCUGUGGCUGAUACAGAGGGAUUUCCUUGAAGGAAAAUCUGUACAACAGAUGGUUGACGAAGCUCUCCAACGGGUGCCUAACAGCAAUGGAGACAAAUAUAUUGACGAGGUCAACCAAAUCAGAGACUCGUUGGCAAUUAUGGGUGAUAACAGUACUGCUUUUAGCUUGCCCCAGCCUCAUCUCCAAAGAACAAAGUUAUGUGAUCUGGAGGACCAGGAACUUGAACCGUUGUAUGUACAAAGGAGGGAUGAACUGAAGCAAUUGGUUGCAUCCAUGAUAAAACCAAAAAUUGUGCAGGGUAGAACUUUAAAUGGAAAGGAGUUUGUAUCCUUCUUAGGGCAGAUACUUGAAGCUUUGAAUAAAGGCGAAAUUCCAUCGACAGGGUCGCUUGUUGAAGUUUUCAAUAAGGGCAUCCUUGAACGUUGCUUGAAGGUGUAUACUGAAAGAAUGGAAAUAGUGGGUCUACCGGUAUCAGUUGAUAAACUUCAGCUAGUUCAUGGGUUGGCAGAAGAUGAAGCUAGAAAGCUUUUUGACAAGCAACAUUUUGGUAAACAUUAUGCUGCUCAGUCCUUCCUCAAUCUUGAUGAAGAAAUAAAAAAGGUGUUGAGAAGCUAUGGAUUAGCCAAUGAGUAUCAGUCAUCAAAGCUGUGUGAAGCAAAGUUCUCAGAGUGUGAAGAAAAAAUGGAUCACCUUCAAGCCUUGAAGCUUCCUUCCAUGGCAAAAUUCAAUGCAGGAUUUCUCCGCUGCAAUCAAAGUUUCGAAAUGGAGUGUGUGGGGCCUGCCAAGGGUAGCUAUGAGCAUCGAAUGUCAAAGAUGCUCGCAAGGUCCCGUGCUCUGUUCAUCAGGGAGUACAACAACAAACUCUUCAACUGGCUGGUGAUCUUCUCCCUAACCAUGGUGGUGAUCGGGCGGUUCGUCGUAAAGCUUCUUCUACUUGAAGCCGCUGCAUGGGUGAUGUUCAUCUUCCUGGAGACGUACACGAGGUUGUUCUGGUCAUCGAAAUCGCUCUACUACAACCCCGUGUGGCAUGCCAUCGUCUCUUCGUGGGAGGCCAUUGUGUACAGCCCUGUUCUUGAUCUUGACAGAUGGGCAAUCCCAAUUGUUGUCAUGAUGUCUUUCUUAGCUGUUUAUUGGCGUUGCAUCGGCGCAAGGGGAAGGAUCGGUCGGUCGGUGUUACCCCUGUACAAUGGGUCUUUCAGAAGCAGCUCCGGUCGGCCGAGGACAGAUUAA
rnacentral:rRNA from 1 species